GUGUGUUAUUGGAAACUGGAGGAAAGGCAAUCCUUGUUUUCAAGUGGUAGAGAACUUGGCAAAAUUGAGUUCUAACGUCAGAUGGAAGGCAGAACUUGAAUGCGAUGAACUUGGAUACUUAAACGAGAUUUCCAAGCUAAGGAUGGAAGGUGCAGCCUGGUUUCCCCUUGUUGCUUAUAGGAAAGGGAUCCCUGUGAACUGCAUACACAGCCCACCAUGUUUCUGUGGAAUUUGUUUGAAUGGCACCAUUGCCACCCUGGACUGAAAGGGACAGAGAAGGGACAAAUCAAAGGGAGAAUGAAUUUAAGAGCAGAGCCAUGGAAGCUGAGGUCUGGACUGCAGAGCUCUCCUCAGGUCAAGACAGCAGGUCUACCCAUGUAUGUGGAAAGGGCAGGCUCACCCCUGUAUUUGGAGGGGGGGGGGCAGUCCAUCUGCCCCAGUGCUUGGAGGCCUUCCACCUCAUUGUUCAGGCAGAGUGCUGCCACUCCAAAGCUGAGAGGAGGUGGGGCCUGUGUCCUGGCGUUUCUGUGUUGCCUCGCCGGCAUCCUGAUGCUCAGAGAGGGUGGGAUCUUCACCCCAGUGUUUGGGGAGAGCAUGGCCACUGCACAAGUGCUUGGAAGGGGUGGGACUGCUGCUCUCUCAGGCCCAGGGGACAAAACAUCCAUCCAUAGAUGACUCUCAGACCUUGAAAUCUAAUAGAGUUUGCUCUGCAGGGUUUUGGAAUUGCUUGGGACCCAUGACCCCUGUUUUCUUUCCAAUGUCUCCCUUCUGGAACGGCAAUGUCUAUCCUAUGCCUGCCCUCUCUUGUUUACUGGAAGCAGGUAAUUUGCUCUCUAGCUUUCACAGGUCUAUAGAUGGAGGGGAAUUGUACUCCGGGACAGACCACACCCAUAACCAAUUUUGAGGAGACUUUGUACUUAGCAUUGUUACUGAAAUGACUCAAGGCUUUUGGGAUGUUGUGAUGGAAUGACUGUAUUUUGUAUGUGGGAAGAACGUGUUUCUGGAGUCCAGAGAUGGAUGGUAGUGGUUUGGAGCUGUGUAUCCCAGAACAUGUUCUUAAACUUAAUCCAUUCCAGUGGGCGUGGACUCGUAAAUAAGAUCUCUUCAAGAUGUUACUUUAGUUAAGAUAUGGCCCAAAUGAAUCAGGUGGGAUUUUAAUCUGAAUUACUGGAGUCCUUUAUAAGCCAAGUGAAAGUCCGACACAAAAGCCACAAAGGGAGCAGCUCGAAGCUGAAAGUCCACAGAACUCGGAAACCAAGGGAGAAGCCAGGAGAGGCCGCCAUGUGACAGAGGAGCCAAGGACCCCAGAACGCCACAGUCUUCAGGAAGACAGCAUUGCCUUGAGGAUGCCUUGAUUUGGACUUCCCCUAGCCUCAAAACCUGUGUUCAGACUAGCAAAUUGAAGAGGUGAUGAAGAAAGAGGCAGUUGCCACAUUAUUUUUUCAGAGAAGUGGGCAGGGAUGUUCCGAUUCCCUGGAUGUAGAAGGUCACAAACUCAGACUCCAUUUUACUCCUGCUUCAAGAGCACCUCCUUAAACUUUAGUUUUGAAAAGCCUGGAAUUGGCAGCAAACGAAAUCUUUCAGAUUAUCUGGGAAUUUAAGAGACUUACGCUGCUUCUGAAAUGUACAUGAACAAUUGUAUGCUCCUUAAAUGUGACUCAAUCCUCUGCAGAUGGAUCUGCUCUUGGAAAUCAUGUUUCCAAUUACUGACCCAGAGUGUGUAAGGUUCCUUUCUCACAGAUGGAGGAUAUUUUUUCUUUGUUGGGAAUGUUUUGUUCCAUAGGAGGAGGCUGUUCUUGGGAACCCCGGCGUUGCAUAGAGCAAGGGAAUGAAGAAGCAGCUGAGGAGGUUCUUACAGAAGCCGAAGGACAACAGAGGUCAGAUCUACAGUGGAAACAAAGGUGCACGACUGCUAAGGACCACACAUGACAGUUACCAACCAGUCCACAUAGUUCUGCAUUCUAAAAUAUGAGUGGACAAGCAAGGAAAUCACUUGCAGCACAAUAGAGAAAGAAAGGGUCCCCUAGGACCUUGCUUCUCAGCGUGGCUCCAGGGACCAACAGCAUCUAACUGUGGAGCUAAUUGGAAAUGCCAAUCUCCGCCCCCAGCCCAGACCUGCUGCACUUAACAAGAUCCCAGCUCAUGGAUGGGCUCGUGAAAGCUUGAGGAGCCUGGCUCCAGAGCAAUCCUUGCUAAAAUGCAGCUUCUGAUGAAUUGAAGAAAGGGGCUCCUUCUACUACAUUUAAGAAAAUUAUUGCCAAGUACCAAGGGAAAGAAAAAAGGGGAAGUAAAGAGU